GCCGAGGUGGCGAAAUUGGUAGACGCACUGGUCUUAGGAACCAGCGGAGCAAUCCAUGAGAGUUCGAGUCUCUCCCUCGGCACCA
rnacentral:tRNA from 1 species